ACUUGUUUAGCAUAUUUUUAAUGCUUUGGGAUUGUAGCUCCAAAUUAAGGGAUGUAUUUCUAGCAAGGG
rnacentral:tRNA from 1 species